rnacentral:rRNA from 1 species
GAUGAACGCUGGCGGCGUGCCUAAUACAUGCAAGUCGAGCGAAUGGAUUAAGAGCUUGCUCUUAUGAAGUUAGCGGCGGACGGGUGAGUAACACGUGGGUAACCUGCCCAUAAGACUGGGAUAACUCCGGGAAACGGGGGCUAAUACCGGAUAACAUUUUGAACCGCAUGGUUCGAAAUUGAAAGGCGGCUUCGGCUGUCACUUAUGGAUGGACCCGCGUCGCAUUAGCUAGUUGGUGAGGUAACGGCUCACCAAGGCAACGGUGCGUAGCCGACCUGAGAGGGUGACCGGCCACACUGGGACUGAGACACGGCCCAGACUCCUACGGGAGGCAGCAGGGGGGAAUAUUGCACAAUGGGCGGAAGCCUGAUGCAGCAACGCCGCGUGAGUGAUGAAGGCUUUCGGGUCGUAAAACUCUGUUGUUAGGGAAGAACAAGUGCUAGUUGAAUAAGCUGGCACCUUGACGGUACCUAACCAGAAAGCCACGGCUAACUACGUGCCAGCCGCCGCGGUAA